rnacentral:lncRNA from 1 species
CUCCAUGGUAGAGAGCCAGGGGUUCCAUCCCCUGUGCCACACAAAAGGGAGACAGGGAGGGGAGACAGCGGAGGCCCAAAAAGAGCCCCCCUGCGAGCCCGGACUGUGUCCCUGCAGCUCUCCAUCCCCUCCAUCGAGUACACGGAGAGCUGCCGCCUGGUGCGCAGUGGGGACCGGCGCGUGGACAGUCACUGCCUGCCGUCCACGGUGGCUGGUGAGGGCCAGGAUCUGCUGGACUCUGAGCGCAGGGACGGCUUCCUGCUCUACCUGCGCUGUGGGAGGCAGUGCGUGGCCUCGGGGCUGCCAGUGAGGGAGGAUGUCCUCAGCCGAGCGCUGCUGUACCCGGGGGACAGGAUCAUCCUGCAGGACACCCAAGUGCGCCCCAUCCGGCAGCCUGGUGGCUUCUACUCGGAUUGGAAGCCCAUGGCCCCGCACCUGGCCACACACAAGAUGCAAGGCCCAAGGCUGGGGCCCCACAAGAGCGACAAGAAGGCCCCACAGGACAGCAGGAGGACGCCCUCUAAAGAAGCCCAGGAGGUCACCAGGAAGCUGAAGGCGAGGAGACGCGGGGGUAUCCAGCGAACCCACCCCAACGCCUUCUGGCCAGGGCACCUGCUGGACAAGCUGCGGCUGUGCCUGCCCUCGAAGGCCACAGACCGGAGCCUGGCGCUGUUCAGCUGCGUCCGGCAAGAGCGCCACGCCUACCGGGCCACCUACCACCCUGACCGCUGGUGGCCCCUGCAGGACAAGAACUACAUGACCCAAGCCCACUAUGAUUCCCCCAAGGUGUACGCCAUCAACUAGAGUGGCUGGUGUCGCUGUGACGCGGCAGGGGUCCGGCCAGGCCAAAGACGCUGAGUCAGGGUGGCUGGACCCCACGUCCCCGCCCCAGAAGAGUGUCACUGCUGCUCUUCUGGCCUUGGCCUUUGUAAAUAAACCAGCAAGAGCUUUUCUCACCCGACCUGGGUCCCAGCCUGUGUGACUGUGUGCGUGCCUGGGGCACGGAGUGGGCAUUUUCCCUCCGACCCCCGGCAGGGAGUCGCCCUGGACACUCGGGAGCCACAGGAAGCCGCAGGUGGCACGGGCCCUGCACCUCCACGAGAUGAGCUGGCGCCUGUCCCUCACUCCAAGGCUGAGCUUCUGGGUUCACAACUCAGCGUCUUGGAGGCUGGGAACGCCCUCGGGUUCACAAGCCCUCCCAGCCGCCCAGCCCUUUCCCUCACGGGCACAGCAUGGGGGCUGCCACUAACAGCGCUU